AUUGAACGCUGGCGGCAUGCCUUACACAUGCAAGUCGAACGGCAGCACGGGAGCAAUCCUGGUGGCGAGUGGCGAACGGGUGAGUAAAGUAUCGGAACGUGCCCAGUCGUGGGGGAUAACGUAGCGAAAGUUACGCUAAUACCGCAUACGAUCUAUGGAUGAAAGCGGGGGAUCGCAAGACCUCGCGCGAUUGGAGCGGCCGAUAUCAGAUUAGGUAGUUGGUGGGGUAAAGGCUCACCAAGCCGACGAUCUGUAGCUGGUCUGAGAGGACGACCAGCCACACUGGGACUGAGAAACGGCCCAGACUCCUACGGGAGGCAGCAGUGGGGAAUUUUGGACAAUGGGAGCAAGCCUGAUCCAGCCAUGCCGCGUGCAGGAUGAAGGCCUUCGGGUUGUAAACUGCUUUUGUACGGAACGAAAAGGUUUGGCCUAAUAAGCUGAGCUCAUGACGGUACCGUAAGAAUAAGCACCGGCUAACUACGUGCCAGCAGCCGCCGUAA
rnacentral:rRNA from 1 species